GACGUAGGGCGCGAGCGUUGUCCGGAUUUAUUGGGCGUAAAGAGCUCGUAGGCGGCUUGUUGCGUCAGCUGUGAAAACCCGCAGCUCAACUGUGGGCUUGCAGCUGGUACGGGCAGGCUUGAGUUCGGUAGGGGAGACUGGAAUUCCUGGUGUAGCGGUGAAAUGCGCAGAUAUCGUAAGGAAGACCAGUGGCGAAGGCGAAUCUCUGGACAGUUACUGACGCUGAGGCACGAAGGCCAGGGGAUCAAUCGGG
rnacentral:rRNA from 1 species